rnacentral:lncRNA from 1 species
GUAAACCGUUUUCGAUUUGUAUUAUUUUUGUUCAUAUAUGUAAGCAUUUAUGUUUUUCAUGCAUGUUGCAGCAGCUGCCACUCUGCAUUAGCCACUUCGAAUGGAUAUCCAAUAACAAUUUUUUAGAUUGUGUAGUUAUGUGUGUUAAACGAUCGAAAGAAGCAGUGAUUCCCUUAGUGUUGGAUUCUGGAUCACUGGGUUCAUGCUUUACCUUGUGAACUACAUGUCUAUGACCUUGCUUUCAAAGAAGUUUUGUUUAUUUUUGCUUUUCCGUUUGCAUGAAACAUCAUCAUCACUGUACAUACCUUUUCGUUCAUCAUCACUGUACAUACCUUGUCGUUUAACAGAUACGGGUCGUUGAGCGAAAUUGUGAAAUUCCACAUGAGGGGCCAUUUUGUGAUCUCAUGUGGAGCGAUCCUGAAGAUAUUGAAACAUGGGCAGUAAGUCCACGAGGAGCAGGUUGGCUGUUUGG